UACGUAGGGGGCAAGCGUUGUCCGGAUUUAUUGGGCGUAAAGAGCGUGUAGGCGGUUUGGUAGGUCCGCUGUGAAAACUCGAGGCUCAACCUCGAGACGCCGGUGGAAACCAUCAGGCUAGAGUCCGGAAGAGGAGAGUGGAAUUCCUGGUGUAGCGGUGAAAUGCGCAGAUAUCAGGAAGAACACCCGUGGCUAAGGCGGCUCUCUAGUACGGUACUGACGCUGAAGACGCGAAAGCGUGGGGAGCGAACAGG
rnacentral:rRNA from 1 species